GGUCCCAUCGUCUAGUGGCCUAGGACUCCGGCCUCUCACGCCGGCAACACGGGUUCGAGUCCCGUUGGGAUCACCA
rnacentral:tRNA from 1 species